UGGAGAAAUGGCUGAGUGGUUUAAAGCGACCGAUUGCUAAUCUGUUGUAUUAUUAUUUCAUUAAUACCGAGGGUUCAAAUCCCUCUUUCUCCGU
rnacentral:tRNA from 1 species